rnacentral:rRNA from 1 species
GCAGUCGACGCUUCUUUUUCCACCGGAGCUUGCUCCACCGGAAAAAGAGGAGUGGCGAAGGCGGGUGAGUAACACGUGGGUAACGCUGCCCAUCAGAAGGGUGGAUAACACUUGGAAACAGGUGCUAAUACCGUAUAACAAUCGAAACCGCAUGGUUUUGAUUUGAAAGGCGCUUUCGGGUGUCGCUGAUGGAGUGGACCCGCGGUGCAUUCCAGCUAGUUGGUGAGGUAACGGCUCACCAAGGCGACGAUGCAUACGCCGACCUGAGAGGGUGAUCGGCCACAUUGUUUGGACUGAGACACGGCCCAAACUCCUACGGGAUCUUGGCAGCAGUAGGGAAUCUUCGGCAAUGGACGAAAGUCUGACCGAGCAACGCCGCAGGUGAGUGAAGAAGGUUUUCGGAUCGUAAAACUCUGUUGUUAGAGAAGAACAAGGAUGAGAGUAACUGUUAUCAUCCCUUGACGGUAUCUAACCAGAAAGCCACGGCUAACUACGUGCCAGCAGCCGCGGUAAUACGUAGGUGGCAAGCGUUGUCCGGAUUUAUUGGGCGUAAAGCGAGCGCAGGCGGUUUCUUAAGUCUGAUGUGAAAGCCCCCGGCUCAACCGGGGAGGGUCAUUGGAAACUGGGAGACUUGAGUGCAGAAGAGGAGAGUGAAUUCCAUGUGUAGCGGUGAAAUGCGUAGAUAUCAUGGAGGAACACGCAGUGGCGAAGGCGGCUCUCUGGUCUGUACACACUGACGCUGAGGCUACGAAAGCGUGGGAGACCCAAACAGGAUUAGAUACCCUGGUAGUC